ACAAAGGACGCAUCGCAGCCC
rnacentral:misc_RNA from 1 species